AGCUUUGCGCAGUGGCAGUAUCGUAGCCAAUGAGGUUUAUCCAAGGCCCGAUUAUUGCUAAUAGAAUUUUCCUA
rnacentral:snRNA from 1 species